ensembl:lncRNA
GGUCCGGGGGGGGGGGGCGCCUCCCUCCCUUUUUCUCGCUCCCCGGUCCUCAGGCUCACGCAGAUGUUCGCGGCGUCAUUGCAGGAGACAAAGUGUUUUUGCCUUUCUGGUGAGUGAGCCCGGUGAGCUGCGAGCAGGUGUCGCGGCGUGCCGGAGGGCAGGUGUGGAACCAGAGAGUGCGCGUGCGCGCGUGCGUGCGCGCGUGUGUGAGGAGGGAGUGGAAACUGAGUGAGCAGCUCAGCUGAGAGCGGCUUGUUUUGUGUCUCUCGGCUUGUGACGUCAACGUUGGGGGCUGGACGCCUCUCUCUCUCUCUCUCUCUCUCUCUCUCUCUCUCUCUCUCGCUUCUCAUCCUGAAGACUCCCAGCAUCCGUCCUUCUGUGCUUUAUUUCUUUGUCUUUGUACCACAAAUAAUGUUUUCCUCUCAUGUUUCUUUCAGGAGCGACCGAUUAGUCACUAAUUCUUUCACUCGUUGAAUAAUAAUCUUCAAGGAGAAGCUGCUUUGCCUGUUCAUUGUGCCGCCUUGUUUAUGUCCAUUGCGCCUCCUACAAUACAUAUCGCAGCUGAAUGAACUAAACCUUAUUAAGACCAUCUGCAUCUAUAGGUGAUGACAACGUCUCUUCACCUGCAGCUACAAAAUACUCAAUAUUGAAUGAUAACUUGAUGGGCCUGAGUUCAUAAAAGUCAGAUCCCACAUCAACAUGUGAACAUUUUCCUUAAUGGAUGGUUUGGUAUUAUAAGCUGUCCCGAGUCAGUGAUUAUUGAUAUGUCUGCUCUACACUUCAAGAUGUUGUACACACACACACACACACACACACACACACACACACCCUCCCAAAGUGUCUUGGACAAAAGGCCGAGUGAAUCAGCAUAACAAAAGGCCGGGCUCAGUGAGGACCAGCCAGAGCAUGCGGCCGACACAACCCUCCCCCUGGUGGGGGGGUUGAGCUUUUCCCUGCUGUCAGAUACCUCCUCCCCUUCCUCUCCUCUCCAGGCUGCUUCUACACAACACACAAGCGCUAAUGUGGAGCCCUAAACCACAGUAUUUCUUAAUGAUGGAAUGACGCACGUUCUUCCUCACUGGAUGCUGAUGGUAAACGCAUCUGCCCCAGAUGACCAGAGGACCACAGUGUCCUCUGGACCCCCGGCCGCGUGUGAACAAGGCGCCGACAACAUCAUCACGUCAACUUGUUCCUCCCCCCCGAUGAGGAGUUGUAGGCGUGAGCAGGAAUUAAUCCCUCUCCCCGCUAAUAGGCACGCACGAGGACACGGCGCCGUAACCCGCCUGGAUUAAUAAUGCAUGUGUUGGCAGAUAACAUGAAACCUUGAUGUAUGACAACGGCAGCCACGCGGUGAUAAGUGGCUGCCUCAUCAGGGCGCUUUGCAUAAAGACGGAGCCCUCGAAUCAAACCAGCAGCUCCUGCACAACCCAGGAGUACCGUUUCCUUUAUGGUGGUGAAUAUUAAACAGCCGCUUCUGCCGUGAGAUGAAGUCCGGGUCAUGCUGGAGGGGCCCGGGGGCCGAGGGCAGCCGGGUGGUCUCUCCCUCCUCCCGCUGAGUGCUUUCAUGAAGUGCUUUGGCCAGCGGAGGUUUUUUUUUUUUUUGCAUGGAAAGUUGAGCUGAAGGACACGGAGCUGUUUGUGGAGAAAGUGGUGUUGUAGCGGAGGGAAGACUGGCUUUGUGCUUCAGCCUUGGUGUUUCUGCAGAGAGAGCGGCACCUGAGGACAGUGACAUGUUUUUGAAGAGCGGCGCCUCUGUGAGUUUAAGGGCCCGAUGGCCGGUCCCGUGCCGUGACCUCGACCUUCGUGGUCGAUUCCAAACCGUUUCCAUUCCAGUCCAACAAGUAACCUCAACCGUUUCAUGUCCGGGCCCAAGCGUCGCCAUGGGAGGUCAACGCCCUAUUUCUCCCAUACUGACAGUUGAGCCGGCUGGUCACGGUUGCUAAGUAACGUUCACCUUGGACAGCAGUUGAAGCACAACCAGAUAUUUUAAUUUAGUGCUUCCAGGUUUAAAAUCGCCACAAACCAGCAUGAUCAACCAUUAUCUCUUGUCCCACCGAGUCAGUAAUGUUUUCACAUUACUAUUCAAAGCAAAGCCCUUUUUCUAAUGAUUAUUUUAAAGGAACAGAGGGAACUUAUGAGAUGUUAUUGGCCGGGCUCAAUGGCUUUGCACUGCCAGAUGUCAUCGCGGCGGUGUUUGCAGUCGUGAGCACAGAUGGAUUCAUCUAGGUGGAUUUUCCUUUACGUUGUUGAUUGUUAGGGACGAAAUGAAACAUUUCUCUUCAUCAAACAGAGUUCCGGUCUAUGAGGUUUUGUUGUGCAGCUUCUCCCACCGAUGCAUUAUUGGAAAUAUUAUUUUUGUUAUUGAGAAACUCGUCCAACGGAGAUCAGUACAGCAAAGCCUCACCUUUCCUUCAAACCCCUGAAUAUCUCUUUCUUUUCACAGCAUUCAUUUUUUAUUUCUCACUCUGCAUGCACACCCACACAUAACUUCAAGAGAAAUCAGCGCUGGUUUUUAUCUGAGGAUCAGCUGUCACCGCAGAAUUUAGGAUAGCCGGCUUAGUUUUUCCAAAGGGUUGGAAGAGAUGUGACAGUAAUAACGUUUCUUGGCUGAACUCUUUUCUUUGAUGUCACUGUAUUGUUUAGUUUAGAAUGAAGCCGUUGUAGUCCAGCUAAUGAGGCUUGAAAUCCAAAAGAAAUAUGAAACCCUGAGAAAUGUGAAGUCAGUUGUGACCAUUUCUGGUUUCUGGUUUGUUGUCCGGAUGAUUUAUAUUCUGUUCCUUUUUAUUUCCACUCGUUUAAUUGAAGCAGCUGAACGUCUUUUCAAUUCGGGGAGCUGCCUCAAAACCGACACGUCUCUCCUUAAGAUGUGCUUUUUUUGUAUUUUUGUCACAUCACUCUAUGACGCAACAAGCCGUAGAUGUCAAUGAGACGGCUUAAUAUUAUAUGAAGCUUAGGCGAAAGUUCAGUCAGGAAGACUGAACAGGCGGUGCCGUUCCCUGGUGGCCUCCUCUCGCCCCGUGGCCGCACGGCCAGCUGAUUAGGGGCGGGGUCAGGUAGCACCAGCCAACCAGACGUGGCGGCCGUUACCGUAAACCAACUGCAUCGGUGCAGGCAAACGUUAAAAACUCUUUUGCUGCCAGUUGUCAAAGUGGACCCGACACCUCCAAUCUACAGCAGAACCUGGCACAUCAGGGGAGCAACUUAUUCUCUACCUCCACCACCAGUGUCUGGACUCCCAAAGGGGGGGAAUAUGCCUCAUCUCGGCUCGGCGCCCCGGCCCCCGGUCUAUCCUACGGCAGGAUGGCGUCCAAGCACCAAACAGCAUUGCAAUAUAAAUAUUUAUGCCUGUUAUAAUAAGAGAACUUGCUCAGUGUUGGAAGGAUUUCUCAGAUCCUUUACUGUGUAAAACAAUCAAAAUAUAAUGUAAAGUCAAAUGAAUGGAUAAAGAAAUUGAAGUACUGGCAUCACGAUAAACUUAUAAAUGACCAAAUAUUAGUGAAGUGUUAAUAAUAAUCCCUGGAUUAUGUAGACGUAAAUAGAAACUAUUCCUCACAAUUAUACUUGAGUAAAGGACUUGAGUAAAUGUAAUUAUGUAAUGUAACGUAAUAACAUUCCACCACUGCAUGAAACUAUUACUGGUUAUCUGGGGAUGAAAAUGUUGCCUUUAGGUGUGAAUGUCUGGUGCAGAUUCGUCCCAUAGCAACCGCGUUUGAUCCCCGAUAUCGUAACUAUGCACUCAGCUAAUUAACGCAGACGUUCGUAAAAGUGGUCCAUCGCCCUCCGGUGACACUGGCAGAAACGUUUGAAAGGACAUUUCAGUUCAACUUUGAGGCUCCUGUUUAGGCACGACAAAGGCAUUAACGAACAAUCCCAGCAUGCACUGCUGCUGUUUUACACACAACCAAGACGCAGGCUCUUCGUCUGGUUUGAAUGUUUGCUCGGAGUCCCUUCAUCAACAUUUCAAGCCCAAAUUCAAGGUGCCUCGGCUCAGCCUGCUCGAUGCCGAUAAGACUUUUCAUUUUCAGGCCACCGCAAUUUUGGAAAAGUCGGAAAUGGCCGAGGUGCGAGGAGGACGUCCGAUAAAAGUGGAAUAACAAAGAAGAGGAGAAACCUGCUGCUUCCGACACAUUGAAGGCUGCAGCGGUGUGUGUGUGAGUGUGUGUGUGUGUGUGUGUGUGGGGGGGUGUUAAAUUGAACAUUUCCCUGCAGCAUCCAAACAACAGCACUGCGAUCACAUGACUUUGGCCUCACAGUAAAACAGAAACGUUGCUCUUCAUACUGAAUCUUUCCAUUAGAACUUCAGCCUGAAUAUGAAUGGUUUCUCAUCACGCUUUUAUCUCGCCAUCGGCGCCGUCUCAGACCGAGCGCCAAGUGUCUCGGCUUUAGAGACAUUGGAUAAAACCAGCAAAGCAGUCAAUCUGGCAGUGUAAUUACCCAUCAUGCAGUAGCUCAGAGCUGUUCUUCCUCCCUCUAGGUGCAUGAAGAGAUAAAAUAAAGUUAAUCCCUCACACCCAACCUGACUUCACGUCGCAGUGCUGGUUGUCACCACAGAAACUUAAUAGAGCUUAAUACGAUUUAUGGUUAAGGAAAUUAAACCAAUGAGCAAAUGACAGAGAGGAAAGUUAAAAAGGUGCAGUUUGUUUGUGAUGGCUUACUGCUAAAUAAUCAGAGCUUUUAAGGAAAAGGCACCAUGUACUGGAUAAAAGCACAGAUGGAACACAAUGAUGAAAUGACACAAUUCCCAACAUGUUCAUACAAAGUGACCUCGGGGGAAACUGCCUUUUGCAUUAUCAGUGUCCUGCACCCGCGAGUCCCGUCUCUGCCAUUUGCACACCAGUAAUCAAUACGUCUCAUUUCCCUGACAGGCAGAGAUUGCUGCCCAGGUAAACAAAGUGAAAGACUCGCUGCAGUCAUUAAAAUUGCACAACCGUUAUUUUCCUCACGGCCAAUUGCAGCAGGCGCAAGUAAUGACCUUCACAUGGCGAGGCUCCUUUAAGACGCGCUUUUGUCCUGAACAAGCAGGCAUCUAAACCAACUUUCAUUUUAUUGAAGCAUUUUUGAGCGCUAGAGAUGAAGAAUAUCCCUUUUGUUCAAGGAUCAUUCAAAAUAGGACCCGGGAUACAGAUGUGCAGUGUGGGAGGGAGAGAGGGGAGAGAGUUUGAUACCAUUAUUGGGGUACAAACAUUUUGACAGCGUUGAAGCGAAAAGGCGUCAGUCAGUAAGCUUUUCCUCCACCUCUCCUCCUCGGCGAGGUUCGGUCCGUUGACUCAGCACAGUGUAGGAAGGCCGGGCAGGUGAUGGUGGGUGGGGGCCGUGUGAAGGAGGGAAGGCAAGGGCGGGAGGACACCCCCAUCUCGGCAAUUUAAAUCAACGCGACUCCAAUCGGGGUCCGAUCGAGACGAUUACGUGUCUCUUUGUGGUCAAAGAUAUUUUUGAAGUUUGCUUUUUUAUGGGCAUGUAUUGGUUUUCAGCACAAAGUGCUUUGAAAAAUUGCCCCCAUGAGAAACGCUGAGUCUCUGCUGCCCCGAGAGGACCAACGAUGACGCUGACCAAGACUCCGUCAAUCUCCGCCCGCUUUCGGUUUCAACAAAUCACCUUCCUGUGUUAAGUGCCCGCCCCCUCCCACCGACAGCUGCCCCAAUGGUGGAACAAUGGAUAUGACGAGCGCUGCACAGCAGAGCCACAUGGAGGAGCUAGGCGCUAGCAUUAGCAGCUAAUGCUACUCCCGCACAGGCUUGUGCUGACUGGGAUGUGACAUUCUCUAUUACGGGUAAACCUUCUUGUAUUUACCCUAAAAAAAAGGGGUAAAUGUGAUUUUGUGUUGUUGUGGUUGAAUGUAAUUUAUGGUGCUCUCAGAUAGCUGCUAGACAACCCAUAAAAUACACAAAGACCCCGCUGGUACCAGCGUGAGAGUCCGGCUUUAGAAAGAAUAAACAGAAACACAUUUGGCCUGAAGCAGAAAUUGUUGAAUUGUGGACUUUUGGAACGUAAAAUACAAAAUUAGGGCCACUUUUCAUUACAACAACGUCCUUGAUAAAAAAAAUAGAAACUUUUUUAAGCAUCCAGCAGUUUCAGAGCAACCUUAUUAUCCAAUUGGAGAGAUGUUUCUGGCAUCCAAGUUGAAUAUUCCCUUAGUUUUUGGUCUUCUGGUCUCUGCCGGUGUCAGAUGUUACGCAAAGCAGCCGAAGCGGCAUCUGUCAUUGUGACGCGUUUCGGCAAAUAAAAAAUCAACCUGCAUCAGCAACCUGUGGCGAAGGCAUCGCGGCGCCAAAUCCAGUUUGAAUUGCGUUAGGAAAAAGCAAUAUGACAACGUGAUUAAGGAUUGUUUGUAAAGGGGAGCGUUCGACAGGCCGUUCCUCAAAGAGGAACUACUGAAAACGAAAAAAAACGAGGCGUGAGCUGCGGAUUCAAGUGAUAAUUUGUGAACUGCGUUGUUACAAACAAAUCCAAGUCAAACAGUCCGACAAGGAGCCAUAUCAGCGCUUUACAGCCUGAAAGACUCGAAACACAGAUUCCAUUAAAAAGGUAAAUGAAGCUCGGUGACGAGCACGACAGCCUUCGUCUAGAGGGCAGCGAGCGGCGGAGGCACAAAGCAAAACACGGAGCGGCACGCCAACACAACCCGAUGGCCUCGGCUCCAUUCUGCCAAUCUCUGCUCCCCACGACGCGCCUCGGACUUUCACACCCCCCCCCUUACCUCCCCACCUCCCCUCCCGGCGUAAAACCAGAUCCCAGCUCCCAACACCCCGACGGACAUCUGGGAUUUUUUUAUUUUUCCGCUGCCUGUAAAAUCGACUGCUCCGGAUUUAAAGGGCUUACAGGAGCCGAGAGUCCAUAUUGUGCCACUUCUGUGCACCGGAGUGACUUGACUGAACUACGCUCUAAUGGAUGGGUCCCUUGGACUGGAGCACGGGUUUGUGCGUGCGUACGCGCACACGAGUGUGGGUAAAUCACUGUAGUGGAGCUCUUAUGCUGAAGGAGCACACUGCAGAAAACGGGCCGCGCGGCAGAAGACCUCUUUUGUUUGUGGUUCCUCGUUGGAAGGCGUGGCCAAGGUGUUUUUACCCCCCCUUGAAAUGGCCUUAACCACACCGGACAUUGCUAAUUGCUGCACUGCUUGACAGGCAAACGUCUAAAUACUAUGGCGAUGGAGGAUGGGUUUUAUCCGGCUUCGAGCACCACAGAGGGACGAGCGCAUGAAGACUAUCGUUCUCUCAUCAGCUCGGCCUCUGAGGGAACAAAUCUUCAAACUGGACCAGAUGCAAGUAAACAGUUAAGUGUCAGUGAAGAACUGAUAGAAUCUGAUUUACUGACACACUCAGUAUUAACACCGGUGUUGAAAAUGUAAAACUGCUUUUGUUUGCUGGAUAUUAUAUUAUGUUCUGAUAACGAACAUUCAGGCAUUUGUGUCGUUUCUCAUUUGCAGGACGUCGGCGGUUUCGUUGUUCGGUGGCGUGCGAUUGU